GAAAUGUAAACUAUUGUGGUCAUUUUACAUAAAUAUUUCAAAUUUAUUAUUUAAUUAUUUUAAAUCACAUAUUAACUGUUUUUCUCCGCAUUUCUGUAUAUUUGUUUAAUUUAAGAAGGUGAUAAAAGAUUCAGAAGAACUCCAUUCAUUAAAUGAUUUGUUACAUCAGGAAAAUGCCUAAGUAUAAGAGGAAAACCAUUUAAGCAAAGUACCUUCUGAAUCUUGAUUUGCUUCAUCAGACCCGUUAAAGCAGGGAUGAAGAUAAAAGAGGGCUUUACAGAACCAAAUUUGCCGACUCAGUACCAGUCCAGAAAUUCCUUCGCCUUAAAGAUUUCUUAGCUGCUGCUUUAUGGCAAUUUUCAGUCUCUUUGGAACACAAUAGUAACACAAGUGGACCUAAUAGUAAGUCAGGAAGAUUAUAGUUUUUAGUACCUUUUCUGCAACUAUACAUCAUUUCCUCGUCACUCUGUUUCAAAGGAUAAACUUAAAUAUUUCUCUUUUAAAAGUAUACCUGGAGAGACCUGCAGUUAAGCAGUUCUCAUUCUAUCUGAAGGAGAGCCAUAGAGAGCCUCCUCUCCAGAACAGUCUCGAGACAGAAACAAUCUUAACGAAAUAAAAAGUAUCAUGCACC